rnacentral:rRNA from 1 species
GAUGAACGCUGGCGGCGUGCUUAACACAUGCAAGUCGAACGGAGAGGCCCGGCGCUUGUUGUGUGCGCGUGUGGCGAACAGGGGAGUGAAACGCGUGGAUACCCUCCUUGACAGUGGGGUAUCAUUAGGGGACAGGGGAUAAAAUAGCGUAUGAGAUCCGGCGGCAUGGGGUGGGUAGGAAAGAUUCGGAGGUGGGGGAUUGACUCGCGGCUUAUCGGUGUGUUGGUGGGGUAGUGGCUUACCAGGGCUUUGAGGGGUAGCCGGCCUGGGAGGGUGACCGGCCCCAUUGGGCCUGAGGUACGGCCCAGACUGCUACGGGAGGCAGCGGUGGAGAAUAUUGCGCAAUGGGCGGAAGCCUUGUGCAGCGUUGCCGGGUGCUGGAUCACGGCCUUCGGGUUAUAAACCGCUUUCGCCUGUGACGAAGAGUGAGUGACGGUAAUGGAUAAAGAAGCAACGGCUAACUACGUG